CAGCAUUAUGCAGAGUACAGUAUCUUUAUUUCAAGCCCUGAAUGUCCUGAAGCAAGCGUAAAAGCAAUGGGGGCUUUCUGAAUCACAUUAUCUCUCUUUGUAGUCAAUUGGAACUCGCUGAAAUCUAUGCAGAAAGUAGAAUAUGACCAGAGACUCAGAGGCUUAAAGCUACACAGGCUACACAUGAUGGGCUCAACACUCCGGGCUAAUGGGGUGUUAACAGUGCUGCCAUCUGCCAGGAGGCCCCGUCCUGCUUCUCGACUUCUGAGCCCUCCCUCCGUCUUCGUCUUCAAGGCCAUCUCCCAGAGUAGUCAGCUCCCUCUCAGUCUCCGACUGCUGUCUCCAUCUUUCAUUCGCAAAGGCCCUUGUGAUGGCAUUGGGCUCUCUUGGAUAAUCCAGGUAAUCUCUCUGGCUCAAGAUCCUUAAUUUAAUCGCUGCUGUGAAGUUCCUCCUGCCAUGUGACAUACCGUACUCAUAAGCUCCAGAGAUGGAAUGGGACGUUUUUGAGGGGAAGGGGUAUUAUUUGCUUAUCACAUUUGCCAUCCUUCAUCCUUGACCGUCCCCUGCCCCCAACUCUCAUACAAGUUCCCUCCCACCCGAGCAGCGUUUCCUCAAUAAAUCACUUACAUAAGAAUCAUUGUCUAAGGAUAUGUUUUGGGGAAACAUGACCAAAUACAGGGCAAUUGGAAAUAAAAAAUGAUGACUAUCCAUUAAAGCCAAG
ensembl:lncRNA